rnacentral:lncRNA from 1 species
GAACCUCUCAAGUACCUCAGAAAUGGGGAAAGAGAGAAGGGAAAUUGGGAUAAAAAAAAGGAGGCUGCAUCCUCCAAAAAUCUGAGAGAUCCCAGAGAAUGCCCCAUGGCUUCUCCCUUUAUUGAAAUAAAGUUCCAGGCUUCUCCCUUUAUUGAAAUAAAGUUCCAGGACUGCUCUGUCUCCUUUUUGGCCAUAAACCUCUGGUGUUUAUGGAUUAAUUUCCCUAAAAUCAGCUUUGUUAUCCCCCCCAGCCGUGCCGGGACCACCCCAUCCAUCCCACCCUGAUCCCUCCCCGCUGCAAUCCCCACCAGCUGCAGCAGCUGGGCGCUCUCCCUCUGCUCAUCCUCCUCUCGGGCUCUCCCAGCGAUCCCCGGCAUGCCCAGGGCUGGAAUUUGUGUUGGUGAGGAAUGUUCUGCACCGAGGAGCAGCUGGUGUGGCACAAGCGCCGAGCCCGUGGCUCUGUCCCCUGAUUGUGUCACAUUCCUGCCCUUUGCACGGGGCUUGCUCUGCACUUCCAGUCUGGGGCCUUCAGCUGCAUUUGCUGGAGUUUUUUUUUCUGUGAAUCUCUUCUCCUGGCAAUCUCUUUUCCUGUGAAUCUCUUUUCCUGGCAAUCUCUUUUCCCUGGGAAUCUCUUUUCCUGGGAAUCUCUUUUCCCUGAGAGUCUCUUCGCCCUGGGAAUCCCUUUUCCUGGGAAUCUCUCUUCUUGGGACUCUCUUUUCCUGGGAAUCUCUUUUCCUGGCAAUUUCUUUUCCUGGGAAUCUCUUUUCCUGGGAAUCUCUCUUCUUGGGACUCUCUUUUCCUGGGAAUUUCUUUUCCUGGCAAUCUCUUUUCCUGGGAAUCUCUUUUCCCUGGGAAUCCCGUUUCCUGGGAAUCUCCCUUCUUGGGACUCUCUUUUCCUGGGACUCUCUUUUCCUGGGAAUUUCUUUUCCCUGACAAUCUCUUUUCUUGGGAAUCUCUUUUCUUGAGAAUCUCUUUUCCUGGGAAUCUCUUUUCCCAGGGAAUCUCUUUUCCUUUCAGUUUCAAACUGGAUUUAAGGCACCGGAAUUGUGGCAUGGAAGGAGCGGCAGCAAUGGUUGGGAAUGACCCACAGGUGCCUGAGACAUCUCCCCCAGGGUGACAUCUCCCCUCUAAAGGGAGGAAAAUGAUGAAUGUGGAAGUCAGAGCCAGGCCAGAGACUGGGAUGCGGGAAAACCUCCCCAAAGUGCAUUUGUGCAGCAGGAAGGGAGCGGGGUGGGCACUCACAGGGCAAUGAGUGAGCACACACAUGACCAGGUAUUCAUUGACCAGGGGUGACAGGAGGGCAGCGGCCACAGAGCCAGUCUGGGUGUCACACACAGCC